UUAGCCUGAUCCAUCUAGACUGAGGAGAAUUUUCAGUACAAAGGAAUUGGCUUUAUUAUGGGCUAGAAUCUAUCAAGGAGCUCAAAUGAAUAGCCAUUAAACAUUUAUUAAUUGACAUUGUACUAAGAAAGGCAAAAGAUAGUUCCUAUUCUCAAUUAGAUAAUUUCAGAGAAGGAUGAAUAGUUUUGAGAUUUUUACAGUGUUUGGCAGUUAUAUUGUACAGGGGAUUUAAUUCAAUCCUCAAUGCAACCUGUUCACAAAUGGAAGGAAAAUAUUAUCCACAUUUUGUAGCUGGAGAAACUGAGGUAUGGAGGGGAAAAUGACUUGGCCAAGGCCAUAAAGUGGCAGAGCUAGGAUUAGAAUCCAAGUUUCUUGACUCCUGUUGUUGGAUUGUUUGUUUGUUUGGCCUGUUUUUCUAAGGAUCAAGGACUCUCUAGGGUGAUAUCUUGACUUGCAUGUGAAUUGGAUUGAAGUGAAGCAAUUAGUCAUAGGUCUCACUCUCUCUUCCAGAAUCAUGGAAGUCCAGUGGGAAGACAAAAGUCAGAAGGACCGGUGAUGUCCUGGGAUGCAGCGGUUGACCUUGGUGUCUUUGAUGUCAAAAUAGUUUUACAAGGGUGGCUGACAUGUUGGCUACAGCUUCUUGGAGCCACAGGUGACUGGAGCUCAGGAGACAGACUACGACUGGAACUCCAGAUCUGGGAAUCAUUUGCAUAGAGAUGCUCCAUGAACUUGGGGGAGCCGAUGAAGUAGAAAGAAGAGAAGAGGGUUCAGGGCAGGGUCUCAGAAUACUAUCAGUUCGAGGGCCGGGCCUUGGACACAAAAAGGCAAAUGAAGAGUAGCCGUAAAUCUAAGAAGAGAAACGGGAGGGAGAAGUUCUGUGGAAGCUGAGGGAGAGUGACUAUUCAGGAUUAUGAGCGGUGGGAGGGAGGGUAGCAAGGUCAGAAGACAGAGAAGUCAAGGAGAAUAAAGACUGAUGAAUGACAGCA
rnacentral:lncRNA from 1 species